CAAUAAAUGUACACAAAAUUGCAGAAAUAUGAACUUAAAUUCUCUUCACGUCUAGAGUAUCAACUGCAGAAAUAUUCAAGAUAAACAACCGCAGCAACGAUGAACAUACGGUAAACUUGUAACUUCAACUAUAACAUACGUAUGAAGGAACACAAAAAUGAAGAAAUAUCAAAUUGACAGAAACGCUCUUCUCAAUUAGAGUUGUUUCAUAUAUCUAACACGACAACGAACAAACUAAUUUCCACAAACAUGGUUGAACUGUAGUAUAAAAUCCAGCCAUUUAAUUUACAAACCAAAACACUAAACCCAUUUAAUGUUUGGCGAAAUAUGCAACCAUUUAAUUUCUGGCGACAUGCAAUCCAGCAAAAAAUCCACCCGAUCAAUAUCUGUCAACAGGCAAAAGUUUAAAACUGCAUAAACCCUAAAAUCCAAACCCAAAUUGAACAAAACUCAAAACCGAUUUCAAAUGCAUUUUAAAACAAACCAGAUUAAAGUUAAAGACACCGCUGUCGAAUAUAUAAACUAGUCGAUCCACUUGUUGUCGAUAGGUCUCCACUCAAUUCGCUUACACCGUCAACAAACUAAGUUUUUGGAUGAGAGAGGACGGCUCUUGAUUUUGAGAUACAGCACCAAUUGUUUAUCUUGUAAAUGAGAUAAGGCAUGGGCUAUUUUGAAAAUAUAUUUUCUUCUUCAAAAGUCACAAGAAAUUGCACAUCAAAAUAUGCCACCUCCGCAUGGACAUGAUUAUAUAUACCCUGACAUACACCAAGCAUUAUCCAAAAUAAUAUUGGGUAUUUACUCUUCGAUUGUGCUAUAUAUGUACAUAAUGGUUUAUAUAAAUAAUAUGGCGACAAAUGUUUAGAUCAGAAUUUCUUCAACUAAUUUUUUUUUUUUUUUUUAAAUCUUCUCCAUUCA
rnacentral:lncRNA from 1 species